UCUGUGCAGUCACCAGCCAGUCCCCUGAGAACUUUCCCCUCCAGCACCCGGCAGAAAAAAUGGGAUUUUUGCUCCUUGUCAUUGUCGCUCUAGCAGCUUUGGAAGGUGUCCGGUCCCAGACGCUGGUGGAGUCUGGAGGGGGUGUGAAAAAGCCCGGAGACUCUCUCCGCCUCUCCUGCAAAGCCUCCGGGUUCACCUUCAGCAGCUACGGGAUGAACUGGGUCCGCCAGGCUCCCGGGAAGGGAUUAGAAUGGGUCGCUUAUAUAAGAUACGAUGGGAGUACUAUAUACUACCUCGAUGCAGUGAAAGGGCGAUUCACCAUCUCCAGGGAUAACUCCAAGAGUGAGCUGUAUCUGCAAAUGACCGGUCUGAAGCCUGAGGACACCGCCCGCUAUUACUGCGCGGGAGACACAGUCGGGGACUCAUACAAUGCUUUUGACUACUGGGGACAAGGAACAACGGUGACCGUUUCCAGCGCUAGCCCCACGGCCCCGUCUGUCUUCCCCCUGACCUCCUGCACCGACGACGACACCCACCAGAUCACCUUCGGCUGCCUGGCCAAAGGAUACUUCCCCGAGCCGGUCACCGUGACGUGGAGCCCAAAUGUCGCCUCCUCGGGCGUGAAGACUUAUCCCUCCCUGCUGCAACCUUCCAGCGGCCUCUACACGCUCAGCAGCCAGGUCACCGUCCCGUCCAGCAGCUGGAAGUCUAACACCUAUAGCUGCAAAGUACAACACCAGCCCACCAGCUCCAGCAUCUCCAAGGAAAUCCCAAAGCCCAUCCCCAUUGAACCCGAGGUGCACGUCCUCCACUCCUCCUGCACCAGCAAGCCAGGUGCCAUCCAGCUGGUGUGCUUCAUCUCCGGCUUCUACCCCGAGCCUUUGACGGUGGAAUGGCUGGUGGACGGCAAGCCCGGGCAACUUUCUGGUGACACCGACUCUGCCAAGAAGGACGCCAACGGCCGCACCUUCAGGACCCGCAGUAAUGCCAGUGUCUCCCAGGACGAGUGGCUGGAGGGCAAGAUGUACACCUGCCAGGUGUAUCACCCGGGCACCGGAAGCAAAAAGCAGGACCACGCCCACAAGUGCAGAGAAGAAAAAACAUCUCCCAGCGACAUCCAAGUCUUCCUGGUGCCCCCAUCCCCCACCGCCCUGUACGUGACCCAGAGACCCAUGCUCACCUGCCUGGUGGUCAACCUGCCGAGCGACUCCGGCCUCCGGGUGGUCUGGUCCCGGGAGAAGCCAGAGUCCAUUAGGCCUGAUGAGCCGGACAUCACUGAGCACUUCAACGGCACCUUCACCGCCUCCAGGUCCAUGCCCAUCCUCACCCACGACUGGGAGGAUGGAGAGACCUUUACCUGCAGAGUGGAGCACUCAGACCUACCCUCGCCCCUUGUGAAAUCCAUCUCCAAGAAGCCAGGCAAGCACUCCACCCCGGGUGUCUACCUCCUGCGCCCCCACAACGAGGAGCUAAGGAGCAAAGGAGACUCCGUCAGCCUCACCUGCCUGGUGCGGGGCUUCUUCCCCGAGGACAUCUCGGUGCAGUGGAUGAAGAACCAUGAAGGUGAAAAGGAGACUGACAACAUCACCACUCCGCCCAUGAAGGAAAAAGAUGGCGACUCGAACUUCUUCCUCUACAGCAAGCUGAAAGUCAGCAAGGACAGCUGGAACAGCGGGGACACCUACACCUGCAUGGUCAUCCACGAAGCCCUGCAGAUGAAGUUCACCCAGCGCAGUGUCAGCAAAGUCUCUGGUAAAUGAAGACGUCUCCUCCCAGCCCCACUGGUAGCAUUGUCCAGUACAGCUUCCUGUAAAUAAUCUCUGUGCCCUCAGUGAUGACAAGUGAAUAAACGGAACGAGUCUGAGCUCA